CCUACGGGAGGCUGCAGUGAGGAAUAUUGCUCAAUGGGCGAGAGCUUGAACCAGCCAAGUAGCGUGCGGGAGUACUGUCCUAUGGGUUGUAAACCUCUUUUGUAGGGGAGCAAAAGCCGGACGUGUCCGGCUGUGAGCGUACCCGAAGAAAAAGCAUCGGCUAAAUCCGUGCCAGCAGCCGCGGUAAUACGGAUGAUGCGAGCGUUAUCCGGAUUUAUUGGGUUUAAAGGGAGCGCAGGCGGAUUUUUAAGUCAGCGGUCAAAUCGUGGGGCUCAACCCCAUCCAGCCGUUGAAACUGGGGAUCUAGAGUGAGCGAGAGGUAUGCGGAAUGCGUGGUGAAGCGGUGAAAUGCAUAGAUAUCACGCAGAACCCCGAUGGCGAAGGCAGCAUACCGGUGCACAACUGACGCUCAGGAACGAAAGCGUGGGUAUCGAACAGGAUUAGAUACCCUAGUAGUC
rnacentral:rRNA from 1 species